CGAAAAUAAAAAUUAUAAAAAACAGAAAAAACAGAGAGAGGAAAAACUUAAACUUUACCCUAUUUUUUUCAGUUUUAUCGUCUUCUCCACCUAAAGCUUCUCAACCCAUCAAUGGCAAUUUAGAGUUUUGGAUAAUUCUUGCUUUUUCAUCGGCGUUCUUCCACUUUCCUUUGUCUCUAAUCUCUUUUUCAUCUUUCUCCUCUUUGUCUUCAGACACAAAUCAACGAAAUUGAUUUGUUCUUCCUCUACAGAUUUCGUUAGACUCGGUAUCAUCAAUUUCAUCAAAAACCAACGUUCCUCUACACUCUGUAUGCAAUUAAUUCUCUAGAUUUUUAUUGAGAAACAAAUUGUUAUCUCUUUUUAACUAAAAUUAGUUCUAUGGUUGAUACUAGAGCAUAAUGUGAUCAGUAUUUGGGAUUCUUUAUGACCCAACCCUUGUUUCACGUUUUAUGUCUAGAUUAUUGGAAGGUCUCUUGUGUUGCUGCAAAUUCAUGAGUUAUGAACUUUUCUUGUUUUUUUCUUCAUUUAUAUAAUAUUUAAAUUUAAACCUUUUAUGUGUUUGACUUGUCACAUCCGGUGAAUGAUGAAUCAGUCUCUUCCUCGUUGGUGAAGUGUGCAAUUUCUCACCCAAAGCAAACAUUCCUGCAACCACACCUGUUACAAUUAAUGUCACAACAGUGCAAGUGGAUACUACAAUUGAUCUACCGUGUUUUAGUUCCCAGUCUGAUAAAAUAAAGGGAAAAAAAGAAAACGAUCAAACUACAAGAAGAUAACCUGUUAUGUUAUACACGACGGUGCACUCAUAUAUAUAAAUGCAGAUGAAGACUAUUAGUAAGUGGAGUUAGGAUUUACUUGUCUUUUCCGCCAAAGCUCUCGACUCUAUCAACGGCGAGUUUGGGUUCUUGGAAAAUCGUUGUUCUUCAUCGGUGUUUAUCCACUAGUUUCGUCUUUAAUCUCUGGUUUGUGAACUUUGCUUUCUCUCACUUAAAAUUUAACCAUUCUUGAUUGUUUAGGUUGGAGCAGCGAUCGUUAAAAGAGCACUGAGUUACCCUCUGACAUUGACAGCAAAGAAUGCUGGUGUCAACGGAAGCGUUGUCAGCGAGAAGGUAACUGACUUAACAUUAAAGCUCCACUCAUGUACAACUCUUGAUCUAAGUUGUGAGAUGUUGCUUGGGACAUGCGGCCUCGGUUGCAAAAACGUUCUUUAUGUCUAACUAUGUGGUUGUUGAGAUUAAGGGAGCCAAGACCAGUUACUACUGGCAACCCAAUGAACAAUUCAGGAUAUGGAUACUGAGAUAGACCAGCCAGAUUUACUCUUGAAGAUGAGAGAUAAAUGAACAUUCCGAAAUGAGAGUAGCUCACCGGGAUACAUAUUACUUUUAGCUUGCAAACAAACAUUGAUGUGCAAAGUGUAAUGAUUUUCGAACCAGAGCAUAUGUUAAAAGUAUACAGGAGUCAACAUUGUUGUAAGUUAUCAUAUCUUCAGUCUAACAUGUAAAUUUUAGCCACUUUCUGAGACAUCAUAAUCCUAUGUAUUUAUCAAA